rnacentral:rRNA from 1 species
AACGAACGCUGGCGGCAGGCUUAACACAUGCAAGUCGAACGAACAUAGCAAUAUGUUAGUGGCAGACGGGUGAGUAACGCGUGGGAAUGUGCCCUUUAGUUCGGAAUAACUCAGGGAAACUUGAGCUAAUACCGGAUAAUCCCGAGAGGGGAAAGAUUUAUCGCUGAAGGAGCAGCCCGCGUCUGAUUAGCUAGUUGAUGAGGUAAUGGCUCACCAAGGCGACGAUCAGUAGCUGGUCUGAGAGGAUGAUCAGCCAAACUGGGACUGAGAAACGGCCCAGACUUCCACGGGAAGCAGCAGUGGGGAAUAUUGGACAAUGGGGGCAACCCUGAUCCAGCCAUGCCGCGUGAGUGAUGAAGGCCUUAGGGUUGUAAAACUCUUUUAUCCGGGAAGAUAAUGACUGUACCGGAAGAAUAAGCCCCGGCUAACUUCGUGCCAGCAGCCGCGGUAA